CAGUGGCGAACGGGUGAGUAACACGUGGGCAAUCUGCCCUGCACUCUGGGACAAGCCCUGGAAACGGGGUCUAAUACCGGAUAUUACCUUCCCCUGCAUGGGGGUUGGUGGAAAGCUCCGGCGGUGCAGGAUGAGCCCGCGGCCUAUCAGCUUGUUGGUGGGGUAAUGGCCUACCAAGGCGACGACGGGUAGCCGGCCUGAGAGGGCGACCGGCCACACUGGGACUGAGACACGGCCCAGACUCCUACGGGAGGCAGCAGUGGGGAAUAUUGCACAAUGGGCGAAAGCCUGAUGCAGCGACGCCGCGUGAGGGAUGACGGCCUUCGGGUUGUAAACCUCUUUCAGCAGGGAAGAAGCGAAAGUGACGGUACCUGCAGAAGAAGCACCGGCUAACUACGUGCCAGCAGCCGCGGUAAUACGUAGGGUGCGAGCGUUGUCCGGAAUUAUUGGGCGUAAAGAGCUCGUAGGCGGCCUGUUGCGUCGNUUGUGAAAGCCCGGGGCUUAACCCCGGGUCUGCAGUCGAUACGGGCAGGCUAGAGUUCGGUAGGGGAGAUCGGAAUUCCU
rnacentral:rRNA from 1 species